UGGGGAAUUUUGGACAAUGGGCGCAAGCCUGAUCCAGCAAUGCCGCGUGCAGGAUGAAGGCCUUCGGGUUGUAAACUGCUUUUGUACGGAACGAAACGGUCUUUUCUAAUACAGAAGGCUAAUGACGGUACCGUAAGAAUAAGCACCGGCUAACUACGUGCCAGCAGCCGCGGUAAUACGUAGGGUGCGAGCGUUAAUCGGAAUUACUGGGCGUAAAGCGUGCGCAGGCGGUUAUGCAAGACAGAUGUGAAAUCCCCGGGCUCAACCUGGGAACUGCAUUUGUGACUGCAUAGCUGGAGAGAGGCAGAGGAGGAUGGAAUUCCGCGUGUAGCAGUGAAAUGCGUAGAUAUGCGGAGGAACACCGAUGGCGAAGGCAAUCCCCUGGGCCUGCACUGACGCUCAUGCACGAAAGCGUGGGGAGCAAACA
rnacentral:rRNA from 1 species